UACGGAGGGGGCUAGCGUUGUUCGGAAUUACUGGGCGUAAAGCGCGCGUAGGCGGACCUGCAAGUCGAACGUGAAAUCCCCAGGCUCAACCUGGGAACUGCGUCCGAUACUGGCAGGCUUGAAUCCGGGAGAGGGAUGUGGAAUUCCAGGUGUAGCGGUGAAAUGCGUAGAUAUCUGGAGGAACACCGGUGGCGAAGGCGGCAUCCUGGACCGGUAUUGACGCUGAGGCGCGAAAGCUAGGGGAGCAAACGGG
rnacentral:rRNA from 1 species